UGAGGUCACAGAGCCCGUGAGCGCCCACCCAGAUUAAUCUCUGAGGGAAAGGGCCUGAUGGGAUGAUGUGACAGAAGAGGGAGGACUGCAGGCGCUGCUGGAAGAGGGGGACUGUGAGUUCACCAAGUUCCCCAAGCUGCCCUCCAAUGUCUGAUCCUCCUGUGCCAGCGUCCUGAGCAGCUGCAAUUCCAGGCAUGUGCCACCUCGCCCAACUCACUAUCUGAAGCUUCAGGAGUCCCAGCAAUGAGCUGUCCUGUAGCCAGUUGUUAAAAAGGCCC